CCUACGGGUGGCAGCAGUGGGGAAUAUUGGGCAAUGGGCGCAAGCCUGACCCAGCAACGCCGCGUGAAGGAAGAAGGCCCUACGGGUCGUAAACCUCUUUUGCCGGGGAGCAAGGGCGGGGACGUGUCCCGGCCCGGAGAGUACCCGGAGAAAAAGCAUCGGCUAACUCCGUGCCAGCAGCCGCGGUAAUACGGAGGAUGCGAGCGUUAGCCGGAUUUAUUGGGUGUAAAGGGUGCGUAGACGGAGAAGCAAGUUAGUUGUGAAAUCCCUCGGCUUAACUGAGGAACUGCAACUAAAACUACUUCCCUUGAGUACUGGAGAGGAAAGUGGAAUUCCUAGUGUAGCGGUGAAAUGCGUAGAUAUUAGGAGGAACACCAGUGGCGAAGGCGACUUUCUGGACAGUAACUGACGUUGAGGCACGAAAGUGUGGGGAGCAAACAGGAUUAGAUACCCCUGUAGUC
rnacentral:rRNA from 1 species